GAAAUAUGAAAAUGUCAGAUGCAUGAGAUAGAUAAUAAGUGUGUUUAUCUACCAAGAGAAAUGAUGAUAGUCUAUGACAAAAAAUGAAGGAAACUGAAGACUUCUACAAUAAUAAGAAUCGCCCUAAAUCACGUUGAAAUCUUCCAUGAUCAUUGAUAUCCAUUGGCAGAUAUGAUUUAAAG